GACCACUUGACAAUGCCACCGCCGCAGGUUUCACACAGUAGGUGAAAAAUAACUUAGAAAAGCUCAAAAUGUGGACACAGAUCUACCUGUCAUUUCACGGCAAAGAAGUGUCCGGAAACUGAAAAUUAACAUUCCGGUGGAAAACUCGCCGGAGAGCCUUCAUCAGCUCACACCGAUCACGUUAAUAGAGAGAGUAGAGAGAGG
rnacentral:misc_RNA from 1 species